rnacentral:rRNA from 1 species
GACGAACGCUGGCGGCGUGCUUAACACAUGCAAGUCGAACGGAAAGGCCCUGCUUUUGUGGGGUGCUCGAGUGGCGAACGGGUGAGUAACACGUGAGUAACCUGCCCUUGACUUUGGGAUAACUUCAGGAAACUGGGGCUAAUACCGGAUAGGAGCUCCUGCUGCAUGGUGGGGGUUGGAAAGUUUCGGCGGUUGGGGAUGGACUCGCGGCUUAUCAGCUUGUUGGUGGGGUAGUGGCUUACCAAGGCUUUGACGGGUAGCCGGCCUGAGAGGGUGACCGGCCACAUUGGGACUGAGAUACGGCCCAGACUCCUACGGGAGGCAGCAGUGGGGAAUAUUGCACAGUGGGCGGAUGCCUGAUGCAGCAACGCCGCGUGCGGGAUGACGGCCUUCGGGUUGUAAACCGCUUUCGCCUGUGACGAAGCGUGAGUGACGGUAAUGGGUAAAGAAGCACCGGCUAACUACGUGCCAGCAGCCGCGGUGAUACGUAGGGUGCGAGCGUUGUCCGGAUUUAUUGGGCGUAAAGGGCUCGUAGGUGGUUGAUCGCGUCGGAAGUGUAAUCUUGGGGCUUAACCCUGAGCGUGCUUUCGAUACGGGUUGACUUGAGGAAGGUAGGGGAGAAUGGAAUUCCUGGUGGAGCGGUGGAAUGCGCAGAUAUCAGGAGGAACACCAGUGGCGAAGGCGGUUCUCUGGGCCUUUCCUGACGCUGAGGAGCGAAAGCGUGGGGAGCGAACAGGCUUAGAUACCCUGGUAGUCCACGCUGUAAACGGUGGGUACUAGGUGUGGGGUCCAUUCCACGGGUUCCGUGCCGUAGCUAACGCUUUAAGUACCCCGCCUGGGGAGUACGGCCGCAAGGCUAAAACUCAAAGGAAUUGACGGGGCCCCGCACAAGCGGCGGAGCAUGCGGAUUAAUUCGAUGCAACGCGUAGAACCUUACCUGGGUUUGACAUGGAUCGGGAGUGCUCAGAGAUGGGUGUGCCUCUUUUGGGGUCGGUUCACAGGUGGUGCAUGCCUGUCGUCAGCUCGUGUCGUGAGAUGUUGGGUUAAGUCCCGCAACGAGCGCAACCCUUGUUCACUGUUGCCAGCACGUUAUGGUGGGGACUCAGUGGAGACCGCCGGGGUCAACUCGGAGGAAGAUGGGGAUGACGUCAAGUCAUCAUGCCCCUUAUGUCCAGGGCUUCACGCAUGCUACAAUGGCUGGUACAGAGAGUGGCGAGCCUGUGAGGGUGAGCGAAUCUCGGAAAGCCGGUCUCAGUUCGGAUUGGGGUCUGCAACUCGACCUCAUGAAGUCGGAGUCGCUAGUAAUUGCAGAUCAGCAACGCUGCGGUGAAUACGUUCCCGGG